GUAACAAGGUUUCCGUAGGUGAACCUGCGGAAGGAUCAUUACCGAGUGCGGGCCCUCGUGGCCCAACCUCCCACCCUUGUCUCUAUACACCCGUUGCUUUGGCGGGCCCACCGGGGCCACCUGGUCGCCGGGGGACGUUCGUCCCCGGGCCCGCGCCCGCCGAAGCGCUCUGUGAACCCUGAUGAAGAUGGGCUGUCUGAGUACUAUGAAAAUUGUCAAAACUUUCAACAAUGGAUCUCUUGGUUCCGGCAUCGAUGAAGAACGCAGCGAAAUGCGAUAAGUAAUGUGAAUUGCAGAAUUCCGUGAAUCAUCGAAUCUUUGAACGCACAUUGCGCCCCCUGGCAUUCCGGGGGGCAUGCCUGUCCGAGCGUCAUUUCUGCCCUCAAGCACGGCUUGUGUGUUGGGUGUGGUCCCCCCGGGGACCUGCCCGAAAGGCAGCGGCGACGUCCGUCUGGUCCUCGAGCGUAUGGGGCUCUGUCACUCGCUCGGGAAGGACCUGCGGGGGUUGGUCACCACCAUAUUUUACCACGGUUGACCUCGGAUCAGGUAGGAGUUACCCGCUGAACUUAAGCAUAU
rnacentral:rRNA from 1 species